CUUAUACUCCCUGUCCGGAAAUACUUGUUGGAGAAAUAGAUGUAUCUAGACGCAUUUUUGUUUUAGAUACUUCCAUUUUUAUCCAUUUCGACAAGUAUUUUCGGAUGGAGGGAGUAUUAU
rnacentral:pre_miRNA from 1 species